UAAUGCUUCAUGGGGGACAGACAACCAUUUAAUAGCAAUCUCUCUCCCUUAGCACCUGACCAUGGGGCCGGACCGCAACACCCUUCACCACCUCAACUCCCUGCACCUGCAUUUAACAUGAGGAGAGUUACUCAAGGAACGGCAGUCCCUCCUCAACUCCCUCCACCCCCUGCACCAACCCUCAACAUGAGGCGAACAGAGGAGCCCUCUUCAAGCCUGGCCUACAGACCAACAUGGCGAGGGGGAAGAAUGACCGAUACCAUUCCCUGCUCUGCAGCUGAGGUCCACAUCCUUAGCCUGCUGGAGACCAUUAAACAGCAACAAGACCAGCUUGUGGCAAAGGUGAACAGCAACCCCAGGGCCAGAUGUUGAGAUGCCGGACAAUAUCCAGUUUCCCCUGGAACAAGUGGAGGCAUUUGAAAUGUUUUUAAAGGAACCGUCAAAUGGCCCAGCUCGACAGAGAGUGGUGCUGUGAGGAAAAACAGUGACACAGUCAGCCACGGACGCAGAGGUCACCAAGCACGCAAUCAGGUGGUUCAAC